rnacentral:rRNA from 1 species
GACGAACGCUGGCGGCAGGCUUAACACAUGCAAGUCGCACGAGAACGCUCUGGCUUUGCCAGGGCAAGUACAGUGGCGGACGGGUGCGUAUCGCGUAGAUAACCUGCCUUCAGGCGCGGGACAAUCGCGGGAAACCGUGGCUAAUACCGCACGACGUCUGGGCCCCGCAUGGGGACCAGAUGAAAGCCUUCGGGUGCCUGAAGAUGGGUCUGCCUCGGAUUAGCUUGUUGGUGAGGUAACGGCUCACCAAGGUAGCGAUCCGUAGCUGGUCUGAGAGGAUGGUCAGCCACACUGGGACUGAGACACGGCCCAGACUCCUACGGGAGGCAGCAGUGGGGAAUCUUGCACAAUGGGGUCACCCCUGAUGCAGCCAUGCCGCGUGGAGGAAGACACCCCUAGGGGGCGUAAACUCCUUUUCUGCGCGAAGAAACCCCUGUUGGUCAAGGCGUGACCGUACCUCAAGAAUAAAGACCGGCUAACUCCCUGCCCGCCGCCGCGGUAAUACCGAAGGUCGCAGCGUUGUCCGGAAUCACUGGGCGUAAAGGGUGUGCAGGUGGGGCAGCCAGUCAGAAGUGAAAGCCCGUGGCUUAACCACGGACGUGCCUUUGAAACUGCUGCUCCUGAGUCCCGGAAAAGUUGCCGGAAUUCCUGGUGGAACCGUGAAAUGCGUAAAUAUCACGAAGAACACCAGAAGCCAAAGCCGGCCACUGGACCGGUACUGACACUGAAGCACCAAAGCGUGGGGAGCAAACAGGAUUAGAUACCUUGGUAGUCCGCGCGGUAAAGGAUGGAUGUUGGCGGUUACCUGGUUCAAGGGGUAGUGGUUAAGUUAAGGCGUUAAGCAUCCCGCUUGGGGAGUAGGAUGGCAAGGUUGAAAUUCAAAGGAAUUGACGGGGGCCCGCACAAGCGGUGGAGCAUGUGGUUUAAUUGGAUGCAACGGGAGGACCUUUACUUAGGUUGGAACGUUAGGCGCUCGUCCUUGAAAGGGGGUUUUCGGCAAGGACGCUUAGGGAGGUAUUGCAUGGCGGUGUUCAGUUGGUGUCGUGAGAUGUUGGGUUAAGUCCGGCAAGGAGGGUAACCUUUGUCGUUAGUUACCAUGGGGUAAUGCCGGGGAUUUUAGUGAGACCGCUUGGGCAAGCAGUGAGGAAGGUGGGGAGGAGGUCAAGUCUUCAUGGUCCUUACGCUUAGGGCUGCACACGUGUUACAAUGGCCGGUACAAGGGGUAGCGACCUCGGGAGGGGAAGGGGAUUCUUGAAAGCCGGUCCCAGUUGGGAUUGGAUUUUGCAAUUGGAUUCCAGGAAGCAGGAAUGGUUAGUAAUGGGGGAUCAGCAACGCCGCGGUGAAUUGGUUCCCGGCCUUGGUACACACCGCCGGUCAAGCCAUGGAAGCUGAGAGCACCGGAAGUCCGUGACCCAAUCCGGGCGUCUGCCGGAGAGGGAGCGGCCGAAGGUGAGCUCAGUGACUGGGGCU